GGCUCGUCCGAAGGUAGCGGGUUAUCUCAAUUGAUUGUUCACAGUUACAGAUCGAACUUGUUCUACUUCCUCCCACCCCUUCUCACUACUGCACUUGACUAGUCUUUU
ensembl:misc_RNA Y_RNA Y RNA